UACGAAGGGGGCUAGCGUUGUUCGGAAUUACUGGGCGUAAAGGGCGCGUAGGCGGCCUACUAAGUCAGACGUGAAAUCCCCCGGCUUAACCUGGGAACUGCGUCUGAUACUGGAAGGCUUGAGUAUGGGAGAGGGAUGUAGAAUUCCAGGUGUAGCGGUGAAAUGCGUAGAUAUCUGGAGGAAUACCGGUGGCGAAGGCGGCAUCCUGGACCAUUACUGACGCUGAGGCGCGAAAGCUAGGGGAGCAAACGGG
rnacentral:rRNA from 1 species